UUUUUUUUCUUCGUUUUUUCAGUUUGUCAUCUCUGGGUCCGUGGCAAUCGCCGCACACAAGAGAUCCAGUUCUACUCUGAUCAAAGCCACGCUGGCCAUGAGUGUGAUCUGUGCUCUGCUGGCUGCUGCAGGAACCGGCUACUUCAGUUGGGAGCUCAGCAAUAGACCAGGGGAGAAUCCUUGUAGCAGCGGAGAUUACUGGUCAUGUUCGUACAUGAUAUGGAGAUUUAAUAGUUUGAUGGAUGGAUUGAGGGGUCUCCUGCUGGUGCUGUGUUUUCUUGAACUGUGCGUGU